UACGUAGGGGGCAAGCGUUGUCCGGAUUUAUUGGGCGUAAAGCGCGUGUAGGCGGCCAGAUAGGUCUGCUGUGAAAACUCGAGGCUCAACCUCGAGCUGUCGGCGGAAACCAUCUGGCUAGAGUCCGGAAGAGGAGAGUGGAAUUCCUGGUGUAGCGGUGAAAUGCGCAGAUAUCAGGAAGAACACCUAUGGCGAAGGCAGCUCGCUGGGACGUUACUGACGCUGAGACGCGAAAGCGUGGGGAGCAAACAGG
rnacentral:rRNA from 1 species